AUAGGACGUGCAGCUCCCCUCUGUCCAACAGCCAAUACAAUGAAAUCUUCCAGUCUGUAGCGCAGAAGGGCUUGGACAGCUGCCUUGAAGACACCGUGACAGUCUUAAAUGAAGUCGAGUCUCUGCAAGCCAGCAUUGAUCAACACCGCAAAGGGGCAGAAUUUUCAGAGUCCCAAUUCCUAAAUUGGGGCAAGGGCAAGAAGAAAGCGAGGGGGCUGCCUCUGCAAAAGACUGGGGGCCGAGAGGGGAAAAGAAACCCUGACCAGCUGACCACCAAAAAAGAGAAGAAGAAGAAGAAUGAGCA